rnacentral:rRNA from 1 species
UACGUAGGGUGCAAGCGUUGUCCGGAAUUACUGGGCGUAAAGCGCACGUAGGCGGACAUUUAAGUCAGGGGUGAAAUCCCAGAGCUCAACUCUGGAACUGCCUUUGAUACUGGGUGUCUUGAGUAUGGAAGAGGUGAGUGGAAUUCCGAGUGUAGAGGUGAAAUUCGUAGAUAUUCGGAAGAACACCAGUGGCGAAGGCGACUUACUGGACACAUAUUGACGCUGAGGUGCGAAAGCGUGGGGAGCAAACAGG